AGAAAUUUUUGCAUCAAUAUAAGACAAGAGAAUAUUUAUUUUUAAAUUAUUCGCCUUUUUACCAUCUGUACAUUGUUUUAAGGGUUUUGGUUUGUCGAAUUUUAAAGUGAUCAUGGAUUUUUAACGCAUUAAUUUAGUCGAUGAAAUUUGGUCGAUUAUUUUGAGGUAAAUGAAGUAUUGGUUUUAUUUGUAUACAUGUACUAAUUAAAGUUAGAAACAGGUGAUUUUCGCUUAAUGCUUAAUAGAUUGCCAAUAGUUAUUUUUUUUUUUCUUAAAAUUAUUGAAAUCAUGUUAGUCAUAUUGCAUUUGUAGCAGACUGCCAACUUUGUUAAUAGUAUUAAACUGCACACAGAAUAUUUUUGCUUUUGACAAAAUCUGUGCAUAUCAGACCUUGGAAUUACUAGAUCCAUGCUCUGCCAACUGAGCUACAGCUAAGGUCGGUGUGGAUAGAAGACAGGAAAUUAUGAACUAUACAGUAUACUGAAUGUGAUAAACAUAUUCUCGUUUAGGGGCCACGUCCAUAUUCAUGUUGCCACAAAUAAUGUCGAAUUGACGUUAUGAGUGUGUGGGGUUUUAUAUGAACUUAUCGAGACGUGGCAAUUUGACAAUAUCUGAAGUACAGAAUACUACACAGAAGUCCAUCAGACAUCUCCAUUGUUUUUUGUGUAAGCCCUAUUUGUCAUGAUUUGUCACUCAUCAAGUACCGUAAACAGAAGCAGCCCCCCCCUGGACAUGCACCAUUUUGAGUAUUUCCAGGGAGGACUGCUUCUGUUUACGGUACUUGCCGAGUGACGAAUCAUGACGAAUAGCACUUACUGAAAAAACAAUGGAGAUGGACUUCUGUGUAGUAUUCGAUCUGUGUCCAAAGUAACUAUCAACUACUAAUUCCUUAUAUUAUUCAGCAUCAAACAAUACUAGUUCUGUGAGUGUACUGUUAUUAAUUAUUAAUAAUGUUAUAUAUAUCACCGAUUUUCCAUGUAUUUUAUAACCCAUUAAGUGCCAGCGCUCUCCCUUGGUGAGUAAAAUCGUCUGGCCUUAGACAGCGUAAAAUAAUAAAGUAGGGCUCAUCAGGGCGCAAUGUGACUCAAUGGGUUGUGAAAUGCUUCUAAUAGUUUCUAUUUUAUUAUUUCCAACAGUAUACAAGGCCAGAAAGUGUUAAAUGGCAUAAAAUGAUACUCCCUUCACUUUUUUUCUCUAGAGUUGUGAUCUAAUUUAGUAAUGUUUUGCAAUGAAAAAAGAGAGCGGAAGAACUAAGUCACCAUUUCACGAUGGAAAUGUAGGGAACAGUACACCUGCACAUGUCAAUGUUAAGAAAAAAAAGAAGGAACGUGGCGUUCCAACAGCAGUUGAGGUAU
rnacentral:lncRNA from 1 species